rnacentral:misc_RNA from 1 species
GUUCCCACUGUGCUCAUAAUCCUCUCCUCAAGCACUCAACCAGCUUUCUCAUAAUCUAACUCUUAAGAAAAUAAGCCAAGCCUAACUCACCUCAAAAGCAAGAUCGAGGGGAAGAGGUGCCAAGGCUUUAUAAGGGGUAUAUAAGGGGAACGUUACCCCUAUCCCAAACCAAUGUAGGAUAUUAACACACCACAUCAUGCUCAAGACCGAACAUGUAGAGUGGGAAACACUUAUGAGAGACCCAACA